rnacentral:tmRNA from 1 species
GGGGGUGAACGGUUUCGACUUCGUUCGUCGAACCGGGGGAAGCGGGCCGAGGAUGUCGCGUGAUCUCGCUAACCAACGCGGCAACGUUACAAGUGCCAACGCUAAGCGCACUGACUUCGCUCUCGCCGCCUGAGCAGGAGCAACGAAGUCUGUCGACCCGGGGAUGCUUCCGCCCCGGUGCUCGGCAUCAGUGAGGAAGCUUCGCCUUUCGGUACGGUCGCGGGACCGGAAGGGACACCAACGCGACUGGGCUCGUCACGGUGAACCCGCCUGCAGGAUCACCGGAGCCGAGUAGAGACAUCGCAGGCUGCGCCCGGAGAAGCCCAGGCAAGUCGACGAAGGACCCGGGUUCGAUUCCCGGCACCUCCACCA